rnacentral:lncRNA from 1 species
AAAAGGGUCCUAGGUACUCCUAGGGAACCCUUUUUUUGUGCAUAUGCUUUUGGGUAUAAAAGAUGUUUUAUAAAAUAUAGAGUGUAGGUAUGAGAAAAGAAUUCAUUAAUUAUAUUUUUGUGUUUGACAAGGCCUUCGGUCUUAUGCUUACGUACCAAAAUAAAAAUGAGGGAUCAAAACCCUGUAGUUCGUGGUAAAAAUUUCAAAGAAGUUGGUGAAUUGAUUUU